UACGUAGGGGGCUAGCGUUAUCCAGAUUUACUGGGCGUAAAGCGCGUGUAGGCGGCUGGUUAGGUGUGAUGUGAAAUCUUCGGGCUCAACCCGGAAACUGCAUUGCAAACCGGCCUGGCUAGAGUGCAGGAGAGGGAAGCGGAAUUCCAGGUGUAGCGGUGAAAUGCGUAGAUAUCUGGAGGAACACCGGUGGCGAAGGCGGCGUCUGGGACUGCAACUGACACUGAGAAACGAAAGCCAGGGUAGCAAACGGG
rnacentral:rRNA from 1 species